AGUGAACGCUGGCGGUAGGCCUAACACAUGCAAGUCGAACGGCAGCACAGUAAGAGCUUGCUCUUACGGGUGGCGAGUGGCGGACGGGUGAGGAAUACAUCGGAAUCUACUUUUUCGUGGGGGAUAACGUAGGGAAACUUACGCUAAUACCGCAUACGACCUACGGGUGAAAGCAGGGGAUCUUCGGACCUUGCGCGAUUGAAUGAGCCGAUGUCGGAUUAGCUAGUUGGCGGGGGAAAGGCCCACCAAGGCGACGAUCCGUAGCUGGUCUGAGAGGAUGAUCAGCCACACUGGAACUGAGACACGGUCCAGACUCCUACGGGAGGCAGCAGUGGGGAAUAUUGGACAAUGGGCGCAAGCCUGAUCCAGCCAUACCGCGUGGGUGAAGAAGGCCUUCGGGUUGUAAAGCCCUUUUGUUGGGAAAGAAAAGCAGCAGGUUAAUACCCCGCUGUUCUGACGGUACCCAAAGAAUAAGCACCGGCUAACUUCGU
rnacentral:rRNA from 1 species